AAAUAAUAACAAUAGUAAUAAUAAUGAGAAAUUAUUAACACCGAAGUCUGAAGAUGACGAUAAACGAAAUGAUUCGAAAUGUUUUAACGAUAAAGAUACAAAUUUAUCAUCGUCUCGAUCAGCAUAAAAAUCGUUCUAGAAAUAAUUUAUUUAAAUCUUAUUUAAUGCUCAUCGUGGAAUGGAACCCACAAAAAUUCAAAAAAGUGAUCAAAGGGGACAAUAAAAAAACAAUUGGGAGAAAACAUUACGAAAAUAAUUCGCCGUUUUGAAAUCGAAAGAAACAGUUUGUGUUAGAAAUCUUAUAUGAAAUGGGAAUUUGGUACUACUGAAAACCUUGCACAAACUAAAAUUCAUGAUUGAAACAGGCGAGAAAUGUUCCUGCAGCCCAAAAAUCACUUUCAAAAAAGACUGACAUAACAAGAUUUUAUGAAUAAUGUUCACACCAGACAUUGGUGUUAAUUAAUUUAGUUUAAGAACAGAAAAAAAUGUCCCAAGUUAAAGAUGUACAAAUGAAACGAAUCUGGUAUUUGCAGCAACGAUUUGCAAAAUGUGGAAAUGUGGAAUUGUGGAUAACUUGGAAUGGGUGGAAAUAGCCAAACCAGAACAUUUCAAAAAUGUACAUCUUAGUAGAUAAUCAUCAAAGUAAUAGUUAAGUUCAUCUCAAUUUACGUGGAGUUUCAAUACAUUGGCGUUCAAAUUUUUUGACGGAAAAGGCUUAAGAAGUUGAUUUGGAUAACAUAUUUGGGACAUUUUAAACCAUCUAUGGUUCAAAAAAAGAAAUGUCUAAAAGACGCUGUGAAAUUGCUUGCUAGUCCCACCAGAUGAAUUAAACUUCUUCAGAUAUUGAGUUGAAUAAAUGUGAUACAACAUAAAAAAAAAAAUUGCUCCAUUUAAAUUGC